UAGCGUAGUGGUUAGGUUUCUGACUGUUAAUCAGAAGGUCAUGGGUUCAAUUCCCAC
rnacentral:tRNA from 1 species